ensembl:rRNA 5S_rRNA 5S ribosomal RNA
CACCAUUGCCAUAUCUCCCUGCAGUUAUUCCCUGGUUUCCCACUGAAGCUAAGCAGGCUUGAGCUUGCCCAAUACCUGGGUGGGAGACCUGCUGGGGAAAAUUAGGGUUGCUGC